CACCUUUUAAGGCUGAGGGCGCUUCCUCUUCCAGAGUUCAUUUUUAUUACUCGAACAUAAUAAACCUACACACGAUCUCUGCCGACGUCGAGAAUCAUCUUCCUGUAACGGAUUCUCCAGCCUCCUAUAUAUCGAGAUCGUCUAUGACUCUAUGAUUAAUUACAUUAAACUGUUCAUUUUCCUACCAGAGCUUCUCUCAACCAGAGCAGGUUUCAUCCAAUCAUGGAGAAUGUCUUCCUCUGCUGCGAGGCUUUCCAACUUGGCCAGACUUCUUAUUUCAUCGUCUCUAGCCUCAUCCGCUUCUGGGAUUCCCGUAACGUCAAUAAAAACGGUGAAUUUAUGGGAAUCAACCUCAUCUUCCUUGAUGAAAAGAAUUUUGUGAUCCACGGCUCAUCCCAGCUGCUCGCGCAAGUCAGUUAUGUGCUGAAUUGAUCGUUAAAUUUGAUCGGUUUGAAGUUGCCCGAUGCACGAUUACGCAUCAUCCUUUUGUUAUCCCCAUAAAACUGUUGAUGAAGUCGUGACAUCUCCUCCUACGAAUCAACCUUCAAAAAAUUCAUGCUUUGCAAUUUUGACCAUGUCCAAGCUCUUUCAAACACAAAUUUGGAACGGUAAAGCAUUCUAAAACAUUUUCUUUUCCAUGUUACUAUUCGACGACUAGACUAAGAGAGAGGCACCAACUCUUGGCAACGAUAGUGCGUUGUUUGUGGUCUUGGACAGGGAGAUAACUAAGCUAACAAAGAAAAACAUACCAACUCUGGCUUUUGAGCAGGUAUGUUCUUUUUGCUCAUACACUCCAUUUAAUUGGAUGUAAUGUUAGUUAUAUUUCUUAGCAGGUAUGUUCUUUUUGAGCAUCUUAUAUUUUUGUUUUCUCUUUUUUUUUUUUUCUUUAGGUGAAUAUAGCUAAAAUCUAGAGAUGAUUCGGUAAAACAAAUGAUCAUAACUUCUGCCAUACGAUUAGGUAAACAUCAUGACAUUUUCAUGUAUGUUAAAUCAGUUUCGUACAAUUUGUGUUUAUCUAAAGCAGAAAUAAAUUCAGAUUUGUGAGUCACCACUCACCAAAGGCAUUACUUGGGAGUGAGAUUGAGUCAUCACUCACCAGCAUUGUAAUAAUCAACGCUAUUAGGCAACCAUUUCACAGCUGUGAGAGUCAGCUAAACACUGCUCAGUUAUAGAACUCAAAUGUUCAAUCGUGACAGCUCAGUAGCUAACUGAACAUUUUCUGAUUAUUUUGAUAUUUGUUACUUUCAGCUUUUAUUACUUUCUGUUUAAAUACAUGUCCUCUAAUUACUUUCGAAGACUUCUUGACUUCGGUUGUGCCGUAAGAUCUCAGUUGUGAAGUUGCUAAAGUCGGUUUUAUCUUCUCCUCCUAGGAAGAAGCUAACCUGUUGACAACACAAGCUUUGACCUGGAACAUGUUAAAAAGCGGACAUGCUACUGCUUUAUCUGGGAAUGAAGUUAACUUCUGAAUUUGUUUACAACGAGAAUGAUCCUGCUAACAAACAUUUUCUCCACAUAGCUGAAGAUAGCCUAAUAUCUCUGGGUGAGAAGUUCGUAAGGUGAGAUACAUGGAGAUCUUGUGAAAGUGUAUGGAAUGAGUUUUCGUUAUUUACGGUGGAAUAAUCUCGGUGGAUUGAUUAUGCACUGAUGUUCAAUCAUCUAACAGUAAGUCCCUCCGAGUAAAUGAAGAUCAUUGAAUUUUUUAUUUUUUUUAUUACUUUUUGUGUCUUAAUUCUUUUUGUUUAUUGUAUCUUAAUCUUACAAACAUGAAAGACUAGAUACAAUCCAAUAGCUACGAAAUAUUUAGGUUCUCUAUA